AACAACACCCAAAGAGAAAACCAGCACAAAGUCCCCGGUUGUCUGCAGGGACAUUGGCUCAGUCUCCAUUAUCGUCAAGAUCUGGGGAAUACUCUGGUAACUCAGCUGGACCUCACAUGGGAGGAGUUGCAGCAGUAACCUCUCUUGGAUCGCAGAAGGACAAGUCAGCUGUUACCUCGCUUCCUGCCAUUGCUGGGACUGCUUCUGCCAAGCGGAGGUCAAAUUCGGUCCCAAAGAACUCUGCUAUGAGUGGAGUUGCCUCUCCUGCAAGUGUUGGUAACAUUAGUGGUUCAUUGAAUGCAAACAGUCCUACAGUUGGAACACAAUCUAUGGCUGAUCAUGCCAUUCUUGAAAGGUUUGCCAAGAUUGAGGUUGUCGCUUCAAGGUACAGUGUCCUGCAAGUACAACUGCUAUCUGCAAACUGAUCUUUUUUCCUGUAUUAAUGUUUGACUGAAUUUUUUCUGUUCCAGGCAUCAGCUUAGCCGUAAAAGGAAUAAACUAGAUGACUACCCAAGGAAGCAAAAUACGUAUAAUCCUCAGAAUAUUGCGGUUUGCCUAUCCAAUGCAGCGAAUUAUGAGGAUUUCAAAGAUGAAAUUAAAGAAAGGCAAUUAUCGAAGUCACUUGUUGGUGGCAACAUCAAUGUUCUCAAGAUAAGAGUUAUGAAUUUUAUGCAAGGUGAACGAGUGCUGCAAGGUUUGUUGAUGAAUCUACUCAAAAGUAUUAAAAAAAUUACACACUCAAAUUUAUUUAGUUACAUUUGUCACUAAGAGCUGCCUUAAUUCCCUAGGAAAUGUUGUGACUUAUGUCCCGAAGGCACGUGCUAGAAUGAUCAUGAUGGAGAAGUCGAAUGAUGGUACUGUGGCUAUGCAUUAUGGAGACUUAGAGGAUGGGGAUGUUCUCUCUGCUGAGGAAUAUCUUCCUACAUUGCCUAAUACUGUAAGUCUACUGAUGAGAUCGGAUUCCAAUAUAUUGUCGGCAUAGCUUAAAGAGCCAUGAUUUUAUGUUUCGGCUGAGUUUGUGUUUCUAUUAUUUUCAUGUUUGGCUCUGAUCCCCGAUAUUGUUUUUUUCUGCAGCAUUUUGCGGAUUUGCUCGCACAGCAGUUCUGUACAUUGGUAUGUUAGAAGAAUAGGCUUUCGAUUUUUGUAUGAUUUUCCUUUCCUCUUUCAUCAUCCACUCAGACUCGUUUUUGUUUCCCAACGCAGAUGAGUCGAGAUGGUUAUCUAGUGGAAAAUCACAUCGAACAGAAACCAACAAGGAUGAAUAAUACCUCAUCAGGCAGUCAACCUGGCGUAUUCCCCAACAAUGCAACAAUGGAGAUGCAGCAGCAGUACAACGAAUCCAUGGCGGGUCAGACCUCAAAUGAUGUGAAGCCCACUCUUAGUGGCAACCCUUCGGUAAAUUCGUCCCAGAACGCACCGGUAAAUGCAAGGAUGCUGCUUCCUGGGAACUCUCAGGCCUUACAGAUGCCGGUGCCUCCAAGACCGCAGCAACUGGACCCACAACAGUUACCAAUUUCACAGCAAUCACAGCAACAAAACCAGCAUGCUUUACUUCAACAACAGCAUCAUCAGCAUCAACAGCUUCAGAGGACACAAAUGGUGCUUCCACCAAACCCACUCUCCCAUUUGAACGCCAUGGGGCAAAAUCCGAACAUGCAAUCGGGUGGCCAUUCAGUUAAUAACAAACAUUCUCCACUCCAACUUUCCCAGCAACAACUGCAGCAGAGGAAAUUGAUGAUGGGGCUUGCGGGGCAACCGGGCAUGGGCAAUAUCGGAAAUAACAUGGCGGCGUAUGGAGGCUUGGCGAAUGCCAUGGGGAUCGGAGGAGCUGCAAGGGGAAUUGUCGCCGGUUCAGGAAUUUCUGGACCAAUGGCACCUAAUUCGGGUAAUGUUGGUGGUCAGAACCCAAACCAGAUGCUAAUGAGCCAGGGGAUUAACAUCGGUAACGCCUUAAGCCAGCAGUUUCGAUCCGGGAAGAUGAAUCAGCAACAGGCUGCCUUUUUGACAUCGCUCAGGAUGGCGAGUGCUCGAACAACCAUGCUCGGUGGCCCUCAGCCUGGAAUGUCUGGUGGUCGACAGAUUAAUCACACGAAUGCUGCCGGUCUGUCCAUGUUGGGACAAUGACGGAAUGCAGCAGUACCCCAAUGCAGGGAUUCAAAAGUAUCCACAGAUGUUUGAAGGGGUUUUGAAUCAGGGUGCUGGAACACCAUUUUCUGCUGGACAAUCGGCUUUGAGGUUUGGUCCAAAGGAAGAACUGUUUGAGUCAGAAAAGCUUGGUGGAUCUGAACUGAAUCAGGGAAAGAGUGAUAUGACAAUAGAGAACAAUUUGGUAAGUCUGGAUCCACAGCAGUUGCGCCUACAUCAAAGACUUCCACAACAUAUGAUGAGACCGAAUUUUCCCCAGACGGGAUGGAACAAUCUCAGCCAAGACACAAAGAAGGAAGAACAACAACACCCAAAGAGGAAACCAGCACAAAGUCCCCGUUUGUCUGCAGGGACAUUGGCUCAGUCUCCAUUAUCGUCAAGAUCUGGGGAAUACUCUGGUAACUCAGCUGGACCUCACAUGGGAGGAGUUGCAGCAGUAACCUCUCUUGGAUCGCAGAAGGACAAGUCCGCUGUUACCUCGCUUCCUGCCAUUGCUGGGACUGCUUCUGCCAAGCGGAGGUCAAAUUCGGUCCCAAAGAACUCUGCUAUGAGUGGAGUUGCCUCUCCUGCAAGUGUUGGUAACAUUAGUGGUUCAUUGAAUGCAAACAGUCCUACAGUUGGAACAC
rnacentral:lncRNA from 1 species